UAGGGAAUCUUCCACAAUGGACGCAAGUCUGAUGGAGCAACGCCGCGUGAGUGAAGAAGGUCUUCGGAUCGUAAAGCUCCGUUGUUGGUGAAGAAGGAUAGAGGCAGUAACUGGUCUUUAUUUGACGGUAAUCAACCAGAAAGUCACGGCUAACUACGUGCCAGCAGCCGCGGUAAUACGUAGGUGGCAAGCGUUGUCCGGAUUUAUUGGGCGUAAAGCGAGCGCAGGCGGAAUGAUAAGUCUGAUGUGAAAGCCCACGGCUCAACCGUGGAACUGCAUCGGAAACUGUCAUUCUUGAGUGCAGAAGAGGAGAGUGGAACUCCAUGUGUAGCGGUGGAAUGCGUAGAUAUAUGGAAGAACACCAGUGGCGAAGGCGGCUCUCUGGUCUGCAACUGACGCUGAGGCUCGAAAGCAUGGGUAGCGAACAGGAUUAGAUACCCUGGUAGUCCAUGCCGUAAACGAUGAGCGCUAGGUGUUGGGGACUUUCCGGUUCUCAGUGCCGCAGCAAACGCAUUAAGCGCUCCGCCUGGGGAGUACGACCGCAAGGUUGAAAC
rnacentral:rRNA from 1 species